rnacentral:rRNA from 1 species
UCCUACGGGAGGCAGCAGUGGGGAAUAUUGGACAAUGGGGGCAACCCUGAUCCAGCCAUGCCACGUGUGUGAAGAAGGCCCUCGGGUUGUAAAGCAUUUUCAGCGAGGAAGAACGCCUAGCGGUUAAUACCCGCUAGGAAAGACAUCACUCGCAGAAGAAGCACCGGCUAACUCCGUGCCAGCAGCCGCGGUAAUACGGAGGGUGCAAGCGUUAAUCGGAAUUACUGGGCGUAAAGCGCGCGUAGGUGGCUUGAUAAGCCGGUUGUGAAAGCCCCGGGCUCAACCUGGGAACGGCAUCCGGAACUGCCAAGCUAGAGUGCAGGAGAGGAAGGUAGAAUUCCCGGUGUAGCGGUGAAAUGCGUAGAGAUCGGGAGGAAUACCAGUGGCGAAGGCGGCCUUCUGGACUGACACUGACACUGAGGUGCGAAAGCGUGGGUAGCAAACAGGAUUAGAUACCCUGGUAGUCCACGCCGUAAACGAUGUCGACCAGCCGUUGGGUGCCUAGCGCACUUUGUGGCGAAGUUAACGCGAUAAGUCGACCGCCUGGGGAGUACGGCCGCAAGGUUAAAACUCAAAUGAAUUGACGG